AAUCAACGCUGGCGGCGCGCUUAACACAUGCAAGUCGAACGAGAAAGCCCGCAAGGGUGAGUAAAGUGGCGUACGGGUGAGUAACACGUGGGUAAUCUACCUCUGGGUGGGGAAUAACCCUGGGAAACCGGGGCUAAUACCGCAUGAGCUCGGAAGAGGAAAGGCGAAAGUCGCCGAGAGAGGAGCCCGCGGCCGAUUAGCUAGUUGGUAGGGUAAAGGCCUACCAAGGCAAAGAUCGGUAGCCGGCCUGAGAGGGCACACGGCCACACUGGCACUGAAACACGGGCCAGACUCCUACGGGAGGCAGCAGUGGGGAAUCUUGCACAAUGGGGGAAACCCUGAUGCAGCGACGCCGCGUGAGUGAUGAAGCCCUUCGGGGUGUAAAGCUCUUUCGGCAGGGACGAUAAUGACGGUACCUGAAGAAGAAGCUGCGGCUAACUACGUGCCAGCAGCCGCGGUAAUACGUAGGCAGCGAGCGUUGUUCGGAGUUACUGGGCGUAAAGCGUGCGUAGGCGGUGUUCCAAGUCUGGUGUGAAAUCUCCCGGCUCAACUGGGAGGGUGCGCUAGAAACUGGGACGCUGGAGUGUGGGAGAGGUAAGCGGAAUUCCUGGUGUAGCGGUGAAAUGCGUAGAUAUCAGGAG
rnacentral:rRNA from 1 species